AACGAACGCUGGCGGCAUGCCUAACACAUGCAAGUCGAACGAGACCUUCGGGUCUAGUGGCGCACGGGUGCGUAACGCGUGGGAACCUGCCCUUAGGUUCGGAAUAACUCCCCGAAAGGGGUGCUAAUACCGGAUAAUGUCUUCGGACCAAAGAUUUAUCGCCUUUGGAUGGGCCCGCGUUGGAUUAGCUAGUUGGUAGGGUAAAAGCCUACCAAGGCGACGAUCCAUAGCUGGUCUGAGAGGAUGAUCAGCCACACUGGGACUGAGACACGGCCCAGACUCCUACGGGAGGCAGCAGUGGGGAAUAUUGGACAAUGGGCGAAAGCCUGAUCCAGCAAUGCCGCGUGAGUGAUGAAGGCCUUAGGGUUGUAAAGCUCUUUUACCCGGGAUGAUAUUGACAGUACCGGGAGAAUAAGCGCCGGCUAACUCCGUG
rnacentral:rRNA from 1 species